AAGCUAGCUGUAAACUCAUAAAAAAUUAAUGGAAAAACUAAAAAUUAAAUUGUUAGUUUUUGAAUUAAUGGAAAUUCAAGUUUUUUUUUUACUAAAAAAACUCUAAAUACAUAUUCUGGUUAUGGAUCGUUCCUUAUAUAGGUGCAUUCUUGUUUGAUAAUCGUGCAGAUGAAAUUAUAUAACUGUAAAGUGAAUUGAUGUCUUCUUCUCUACUU
rnacentral:lncRNA from 1 species